AAACCCAACUGUUCUAAAUCCAUAAAUUAGAUGGAAGAGGCCGAAACUGGAAGGCAAUGAGCUUUAGACAAAGUCCAAUCCCAUCCCUGGUAAUCUCUGGACUCUGUGGAGAGGAACUCGAAACAGAAAGAGUGGAACACAGUACACAGAGCAGUGCGGAGUGAGCCAACCUUUGCUGACUCCUAAGCACGGAAGCGAGGCGUAGCCAUGAAAAUAGCCAAAUCAUCCUUUUACUUGAGAAGCAGCCCUACCUUCUUCAUGAACAUAGCCUAAUAAUUUCUUGCGCUAUUAAAAAAAUCCUUGUUUUUUUAAGCAAGUGUUUUUCUUUCUUUUUGAUCGAUAUGCAAUUUCAAAUACCCAGAUUGCGAAACUUGUCGAUGAUAAAAAAAAAUUCAUUGAUUUCAUCAGCUGCGCCAACUCAUUUUUCUUCGUUUCAUUCUACACCUACUUUAUAUCACCAGUGGAAGAACAAGGGGAAGUCAUUUUAAAUUCAGAGUUACAUCAGAUAUCCGGUACAUCAAAAGCGUGCUGACACAAACAGAGCACUUAAAGACCUCCUCUUCAAAAGUGGGUCCUCAAAGCUUUGGGUACACUUUGCCUACGUACAACUCUCUUUUGUUAAACACUACUGAUUCUUUAUUUGGUAUUUUUGGUGGAAUAUCACGUUAUCAUAACAUGGAUGUAUACAACUUUUAGCUUGUUGAUUCUAA